GGGGGGGGGGGGGGGGGGGGGGGGGGCGGGCGGGGCGAGGGGGGGGGCGGGGCGGGGGUGGGGGGGUCGGGUGGCGGGCGGGGGAGUAGCGCGUGAGGGACCCGCCCGCGGCUGGGGGGGAAGUUCAGGAGACGGGGGCGCAUAGCGCAUCGGAGCUCCUGCUGCCUGGUGGUCGGGGGCACGCGUCGGCGGUGGGGGAUGGACUCGCGGCUUACCAGCUUGAUGGUGGGGUAGUGGCUUACCAAGGCUUUGACGGGUAGCCGGCCUGGGAGGGUGACCGGCCACAUGGGGACUGAGAUACGGCCCAGACUCCUACGGGAGGCAGCAGUGGGGAAUAUUGCACAAUGGGCGGAAGCCUGAUGCAGCAACGCCGCGUGCGGGAUGACGGCCUUCGGGUUGUAAACCGCUUUCGCCUGUGACGAAGCGUGAGUGACGGUAAUGGGUAAAGAAGCACCGGCUAACUACGUG
rnacentral:rRNA from 1 species